UCCCACAGAGGCCAGCAGGUGGAUGAGGAGAGACCCGAGGCGGCCGCCGGUCUGAGUGUCAGGUGAACUGAACUUCAGGCAUUACGCUGACGGACGGAUGGAUGGACAAUGAAUGCUUUCUCGUCCUUCUUGUCAUGCACCAUGGAAGUGUCUGAGGGGCUUUUCCACUUGGAAUCGGGAUACUGUGUCCACACUUCAGAGGUGGAGUUUCCAGCAUCUCACCUGGGCCUCAUCUGCAAACAAUCAGCAGGAGGGCUUCUUAAACCAGCGCUGCCUGCUACUCCUCGCCAGUUUGUUCUGCCAUCUCCAGUGCUUCUCCAGUGGGACUGAAGCCAUCCAUCCCACCAGCCAGCGGCCCUUCGGGUGAGAGGAAGGGCCCCGUCGAUGUGAGUGAAGUUGGCCCCCCCACCUUCUUCAAAUCCAACAAAAGUGGUAUCAAACGUUUGUGCUGGUUUGUGCUGCAAAAAUUUUUGUUUGUGCUACUAUCAUUUUAAAGAUAUUAAUAAAAAUUUCUAGAGGUCAUCAGAGGUCAACCAGCCCCCCACAUUAAUUAAAUCAAACAAAAUGGGUGUAAAUCCACUGUGCUACGUUUGUGCUGCUUUGUGCUGCUAAAAUUGUUGUUUGUGCUCCUUUUGUUUUAAAGAUAUUAAUGAAAAUGUAAAGGUCAAAAGGUCAACCAGCCCCCCCCCCACAUUACCCAAAUCAAACAAAAUUGAUGUCAAACGUUUGUGCUACGUUUGUGCUGGUUUGUGCUGCAAAAAUUUUCGUUUGUGCUGCUAUCACUUUAAAGAUAUUAAUAAAAAUUUCUAGAGGUCAUCAGAGGUCAACCAGCCCCCCCACAUUAAUUAAAUCAAACAAAAUGGGUGUCAAUCCACUGUGCUACGUUUGUGCUGGUUUGUGCUGCAAAAAUUUUCGUUUGUGCUACUAUCAUUUUAAAGAUAUUAAUAAAAAUUUCUAGAGGUCAUCAAAGGUCAACCAGCCCCCCCAUAUUAAUGGAAUCAAACAAAAUUGGUGUCAAUCAGUUGUGCUAUGCUUGUGCUGGUUUGUGCUGCAAAAAUUGUCGUUUGUGCUGCUUCUGUCUUAAAGAUAUUAAUGAAAAUGUAAAGGUCAAAAGGUCAACCAGCCCCCCCACAUCACCCAAAUCAAACAAAAUUGAUGUCAAACGUUUGUGCUGCAAAAUUUUUUGUUUGUGCCGCUAUCAUUUUAAAGAUAUUAAUAAAA